UCAGUCAAAGGCUCAAAACAAAAGCUUUUUAGCUUUGAAAUUAAAAACAGUCCUUUCAGCUGCUUUUGCUUUGAAAUUAAAAAUAGGAAAGCAAGCUUUCCUUUCUGCGCUUUUGCUUCGAAAUUAAAUACAGGAAAGCAAGCUUUCCUUUCACCUUCAAAAGCCUUUUAGCUUCGAAAUUAAAAACAGGAAAGCAAGCUUUCCUUUCAGCUGCAGAGAUGGGUUCUGCUUCUGGGAAUCAGAUUGAGCUUCAAAAUUAACAUAGUGAAAACGAAGUCAAAAGCUCUUACCAGCAGUUGCAGACGGAGACUAUGGAGACGACGAAGCAGUUGGACGGAGACGACGAAGCAGUUGGACGGAUACGACGGAGCAGUUGCAGACGACAAGUCUGAUUUAUGAAUUCUGAGGUUUGAGUGAAGAAAAAUAGGUAAAUCAUUAUUUUAUACCCAAAAUCGUUUUGGUUUUAGCCAAACAAUCGUUUCAGUUUAGCUAAUUGGAAUCAAUCACGAUUCUGUGCGGAUUUCUUGAUUUAUUUAUUUUUUUUUUCUUCUGAUUAUCCUCUGAUUUAGUUGGAUUAUCCUCUGAUUUAGCUGAAAACGUAUCCGAAAAGUGUGAUACGCGUAUCUCGACAGUAUGAUACGCGUAUCUCAUCAAUAAACAACGUAUCCAUUCAUGCCGAUACGUAUCGGGCUCGUAUCCACACGUAUCCUAUGCGUAUCCCGUAUCCCUGCGUGUCAGAUACGGGAUACGGUGGCUGUUACCCGUGUCUAUGCAUCUUAGAAGGAAGGUUGGGUAUGGAGGGACUAAGGGAGGGAUGGGUUGAGUUGGGAGGUGGUGAUGAGGGAAGGACGAGUGCGAGUGGGGAGAAGGACGGAGAAGGGAGACCGCAUCCCAGAGAGAGAAGAGAGAGAGAGGGUGGUGGAGGAAGGUUGGGGGGAUGGGGAAGGGUUUGGUGGCUGUCGAAGAGAAAAAGAAAAAGGGUUGGUGCCGGUGGAGGAAAGGGAAGGCCGGAUCCCUUAGGCUAUUUUUUAAUUUUUUUUUUAAAAUUUUUAAUAUUUAAUUAUUAAAAUAAAAUAUUUUUUUUUAAUCCAGUAGGAUUAGUGAGUGGGCCCCGUUUCUAGCCACGUCAGCAUUUAAUAGAGAAAUUAAUAGAAAAACUGAUGAAGUCGGGCCCGGGAAGUGGUCCCGCCCGGGCUGGGAUGUGACACAUUAUCCCACAUUACUCACCACGAAAAGCUGCUCACCACCACAAAGCUUCUCACACUUUAUAACAUUUUGUUCCUCUUACCAAGUGAUUGGAAAGAUGGGUCUUGAGGCUCAACCUCUAAAAUUAAAUUCAAUAAUGAAUUAUUUUAUUAAUUUCAGAUUUAAUUGUUUAUUUUUUAAAUCAAUAGACUCAUCAUUUGAGAUGAAGUCUGAGACGAUGAAAGAAAGUAUAAAGAGCAACACACCCUUAUGAGCACAUGCCUCCUAGAAGAUGCAUCCCAAAUUCAUACAUGUUGCUAACAAGCAUAUAUACAUUAUAUAUACAUCCAUUUGCAUUGCAUUUAGAACUUAGAAAUCAUUCUUCCUACAAAUUUUACCAAAUACUAUCUUCUUGAGAGAACUACAAAGAUAUUCGCCAGUAGUCAAGUUUUCUGGUACUAGAAUCUUGACUUCGAUCGUCGAAUCCUUGUGAAUCAGACGUCUAUCGAAUUACAAGCACAGAGUAGGGACGAAAUUCUGUUUAAAGGACAUUGAUGAAACGUAAGCCUCGAUCAUUAUUUUAUUUGUUUAAUAAUAGUUUCUUUUAUUCAUAGUCGGCCAAAUACUUAGCUUCAAUUUAUUAUUUAUUAGCAUAUUCGUAUGUAUGUAUGUAAGCAUGUAUGUAUAUUAGCACAUUCGUAUGUAUGUAUGUAUGUAUGCAUGUAUGUGUGUGUGUGUGUGUGUAUUUGUAUGUAUGUACAUUUGUCAUUAAUUGUUGAUUAUUAUCCAAGGACUUAUUUAAGGCUCUACGAAGAUUCGAAGUCGACAUAAAUCCUUGUACGGCUUUAAACAAGCCACCAUCCAUGGUUUCAACGGAUUAGUUCGGAAGUUCAUUCAAUAAAAUAACACCAUUCAAUUAAAUAUAUAUCAUAUUUCAAUCAGGUCGACCACUCAAAUAUAAUGCAGUGAUGAAAAACUGAGCUCGCUAGGAAGUUCAUUCAUAUAAACAAAAAGGGAACAUGAUUAUUAAAGUAUUUUUUGUGAACUUUUGCAGUGCAACUGCUUCUUUUUGCUUACUGCACUUCGAUGCAUGUGCCUUCUUGAUGCCAAAACUCUGAUCAGAUUUCACAGAUUCCUUAGGACAGCCAGACAUCAGGAGGAGUAGAGUUGGAAAAGACGUCACAAAGUAUCCCAUUCCAGAGUGUAUAUGCAAUGCCACUAAUACUCAUCCGCACAUGUGAGUCAAUUUUGAAGAUUUCCAGCAUGAUGUUUACUCUGAAAUGGACCCAUUUCAUCAAAAAAUUGGAACAUCUCAGCAAAUUCCUUGAAUUUGAGCCCUCUGAAAAGUGGUUGUUCUCCAGGGCAAUGAUGGUCCUUUGGAUCAUCGGGGAUUUAAGAGCAUCCUCAGCAUGUGUUAGAAUUCAUCUGUCCCAUAUCAGCUAGAAAGCUUGAGAACAAGCCCUUUAAAUAGAAUUACCCCACUCUAACUAACACUGAGACCUUGGGCAAUAAAACCCCACACCUGACGGAUUGAGUAAGUGGCCAAGUGGGGACAGUAUUGGUGUUGUUGGAGUGCGCCCAUGGCCCGUCUACCUAAAAUUUAACAUGGUAUCAGAGCCAGGGGACGGGUUCGUACUGCAACGUGAACGGGUGGGUCCCCUUUGACCCCACACGAAUGGGGGAGCCCCGACUUGACUCCACGUAGGCCAAGAGAUGCCACGUGAAUUGGUGGGUCCCCAUUGGCCCCGCGCGAACGGGUGAGCCUCGGCUUGGCUCCAUGUGGUUGCCGAUGUGUGAAACUUCACGUGUGACCCAUAAAAUUGGGUCUCCCGUGCGGGGGGAGUGUUAGAAUUCAUCUGUUCCACGUCAGCCAGAAGGCUUGAUAACAAGCCCUUUAAGUAAAAUUACCCCACUCUAACUAACACUAAAGCCUUGUGCAAUAAAACCCCACAUCUGACGGAUUGAGCAGGUGGCCAAGUGGGGACAAUAUCGGUGUUGUUGGAAUGGACCCAUGGCCCGUCUACCUGAAAUUUAACAGCAUGCAUCACACUCGGUUUGUGAGUUUGCUGACUUUUUUUCUUCCACACUGCUUCCUUUGUGUACGUUCAAGCGAGGCAAGACAAAUGUCUGUUUAUAAGACAAUAUAGUAUAAGGUUCUGUGAGGAGAAAAACUCUGAAGCUUCAAGGUCACCUAGAUUCACUUUCGGACUUUUAUGAGAAACCCAGCAGAAGGCAAAGAAGGUCCCCUAAUUCUUUAAUUCUUUACAGGAAGAAUUCCUCUAGGACAGAUUUUCCACAUUUUAGUUUGUCUAUUUAUUGUACCACAUCUAUAUAUUAUAGAACGUGCGUGUGUAUAUUUGGAGUAAUAAUCUAUCUAUUUCACAAGCUCACGUCAAAUAUUUUCCAGUUCUGCAUACAGAAAUUGCACCAGCCUCAGUUUUCAUUGAAAUUUCACCUUCGUGUAAUGAUCUCUGUACUUUGAAACAAAGAAACGAGUUAUAUUCUGGACCUUAACGCUAAAUCAAAGACGCAAUUUUUCAUAACAUUUCCUAUUAACCUUUGAUCACUCCACAUUAUAACAUGGCAGAAUUUGCAAAUAUUUACCUGAUAUAGGAUUGCACUGUCACAUGCAGACCUUCACAGAUCUCUCUCUCAGGUAAGCUGCUAGCAGAUGAAAUCAAUUAUGUGAAAAUCCACCUCAGUUCACACCUUAUUGUCCUUUCAGGGGCGUUUUGCAGGAGGCAGUGAGAGAAUUUCUUAUGUAGAUCAUGGGUGAGAGUUCAAGGUAAGUUGAAGAUUUGUUGAGAUUCUAUUAUAUAAAUUGUUAUAGACACACUUUAUGUCUCACAUCAACACUUAUGUUGAACGAUAGUAUUAUUUGUAGUACCCAAUAAGACCUAACGGACAAGAAAUUCUCUUAUAAGCAUGGGGAAAGUGAUCCUUCACAAGCCUCGAUGUUUGAAGCCACUGAAUUGCCAUAUGUAAUUGUUUUAUUUAAACACUUGGCACCAAUGCUAGGUGCAAAAAAGGUAAAGUUAGGGAGACGAAAUUUUGAAAUCAAAUUGUGUAAAACAAAUGAUGUGAUUGUUGAUAAUUAGAUUAUUAAUUGAAUGCCGAUUAACGUGCUUAAUUCCCAUUGGUGACAUCAUUUAGUUUAAAACUUUGGUCUUCUUAGCAUUAUCCCAUACUGAAAUAUACACAUUUUCUCACCAUGUGGAUGUAGAAAGGGAAUACCAUGUAAGUCUGUAAAUAUGCGUUUGUUUGCUUCAAAUCCCAGCCGUGACCUGUAGAAUUGUAAGUUAGGAGCUGAUUAGUUAGAAAUAAUAUGCCUUGAAAUUAAUUAUGUAUUCACUUGGUCUUAGAAUGUAAAGCUCUUAUUGUAAGGCUAUGAAUGUCAUGUGUUAGAAUCCUAGACUAUAGAAAGAUGCAUGGCUAAGAUCACUUGAUGAACGUGUGAGCUCCUGCUGCAUAACUAAUUGUUGUAAUUGCACAAUUUCAGGUGCAAGAGAGAUAAAUGAAAUACUCCUCUGCUACUUGCAGAGGCUGAAGAAUUCCAGAAAUCUAACUGAAAUUUUUUCCAGUUUCGAUCAUUCAUCUUAUUUUCUUGUAUCUGUCAGUACAUAAACAUCAAAUACACUAACAAGACCAAGGGUGAGUAAAGGCCAAAACCAAGGCUUAGAAUAUCCAGUAUAGCUGUAUGAUAUAAUCUUAUAGCUUAUCUAUUAAUCUGAUAUCAAUUAUCUCUAAUAUAAGUGAAGCUUCUAUGCAAAGACUAUUCUGCUGAAAGUCCAAUUCUUCUUUCUACCAUUCAGUUUUUAUUUUGUUCAUUGACUGGCAUACAUCUCUAGUCCCAUUAGCAGUUUGCUUGUUCCACUCCGCGGGUUGUCUGAUGCUACAAUUUCAAGAUGCUAUCAGACUUUACCCCGCAUUAUUGAUUUAUUAAGGGCGAAAUAGAAUAAAUAUAGAUUUUUUACAACAUCAUCCUCAAAUUUAGAUGGAGAUGCUAUUUGGAACUCCCAUUCCUGUGACACCGGGAGUUGAGAAAGGCUUCAAAAGCUCAUAUGGAACAACACCUGCUCCAACUCUGUUUUUCAAGUUCAAAUUGGAUUUUCAGCCCAAGAUGACUCUAGAUUCCCACCAAUAUACUCCUCAUCGGGUGAAUGAUUCGAUAGUACAUCUAAGAUGGCCAUAACUUUUGUUGCUUGAAUCUGUGAAGGGAAGCACAUCAGCAGAGCCAUUUCUGGU